AACGAACGCUGGCGGCAUGCCUAACACAUGCAAGUCGAACGAGACCUUCGGGUCUAGUGGCGCACGGGUGCGUAACGCGUGGGAACCUGCCCUUAGGUUCGGAAUAACUCCCCGAAAGGGGUGCUAAUACCGGAUAAUGUCUUCGGACCAAAGAUUUAUCGCCUUUGGAUGGGCCCGCGUUGGAUUACCUUGUUGGUAGGGUAAAAGCCUACCAAGGCGACGAUCCGUAACUGGUUUGAGAGGAUGAUCAGCCACACUGGGGCUAGGACGCAGCCCAGACUCUUACGGGAGGCAGCAGAGGGUAAUAUUGGAAAGUGGGCGGUAGCAUGAUCCAGCAAUGCCGCGUGAGUGAUGAAGGCCUUAGGGUUGUAAAGCUCUUUUACCCGGGAUGAUAAUGACAGUACCGGGAGAAUAAGCUCCGGCUAACUCCGUG
rnacentral:rRNA from 1 species